rnacentral:rRNA from 1 species
UACGAAGGGGGCUAGCGUUGCUCGGAAUCACUGGGCGUAAAGGGCGCGUAGGCGGCUGCUCAAGUCGGGUGUGAAAGCCCGGGGCUCAACCCCGGAACGGCACCCGAGACUGGGCGGCUCGAGACCGGGAGAGGUGGGUGGAAUACCCAGUGUAGAGGUGAAAUUCGUAGAUAUUGGGUGGAACACCGGUGGCGAAAGCGGCUCACUGGCCCGGUUCUGACGCUGAGGCGCGAAAGCGUGGGGAGCAAACAGG